CCCCGGCCUUUUGUAUUUCCCGAGGCUUUGAGCUGUCGCCGCAGCUUUGAGCUCUCCUCUCCCGCCGGGGAGCUCCUCCGCCGGGCCCAGCGAAGGCACUUUUUUUUUCCUUGGAGAGGACUCAGUACCGAUCCUUAUCUGGUCCCCACCCUGCCACUGGGAGGGGACGGGGCGGGAGUCACGCCCUGACCCAGGAAAGUGACAAAGUGACAAUCGUUUGGCCGUAGCGGGGAGGCCGGGCUGGCCUACGGAAAGGAACCAGAGUGGCCCUUAGCAUCCUUAGGCCUUCCAGCUCCCCGCUGCGGCCUCCGCCAGACCUGCACGGCCGCCCUUCCUUCCCAGCCUGCCUCCGAGGGGCGGUUCGGGCUGGGGGCUAGAGGCUGGACCUUCUCCCCCACACCCCCCCCCCCAACCUGCUAAUAGAUCCUUACAGGUGAGCACGGAACACUUUAGAAGACGCCUCCCCCACAGCCUCUGGUGGGGGGAGUAUGGACUUAUGGAAGUUUGAACUUCUAGGAAUUAGCACCCAUAGACCCUUAGAGAAGAUUACAGAAUGGGUUUGGUGGCAGAUAACUGUCUCCAAUUCUCAGUUCUUCCCGGGUAUGUAGACUCCAAGGACACGCCAGAGUCGGGCUGAUGGAAGGGUUAGAAACUGUUUUCAGGAGGUAGCUGGGAACCUGAAGGCUGCCCUGGGAGUUUCCCUAGUCCUGUUUAUUGGUGCUAAUUUUGCCCAGCUUUCUAAUUAGCUGGUUGCACCCAGAGGCAGGAAGAGGGGCCCUGCUUCUUGGAAGUGGCAGCUGUUGAUAGAAGUUUGAGUGUGCUGGGGGCGGUGGGCGGGGGGAUGGUGGGAACGCAGGUUAGGCCCUAGCCUCGCCCUCGUCAGGACUGCCCCCAUCCUAUCAGACCUGACAGCGGCCGGUGUUCAGUGCCCUUUGUCUAGGUUGGGGAGUGGCAGACGGGAAGACUACCGCCCCACCUCCUAACGCGUUUCUCCCCAGCUCCCCCUCACGACCAAAGGCGGGAAGUCCAGCUCCAGCCCGGUUCAUGGCGCCCACCCGAGUCCAGCCUGGAAAGACAAAUUCCUAGAACCCUGUCGUCUCGUGCCAUCCCUCUUUUAUUGGUCGUGCAUCAAGUCCGAAGUGCCUGUGAGGUCUUCCAGGGGCCGCCAAGGGAGGACAUGGGGCAGGAAGAGGCUCUGACCUCACUCACGAUGCCCCAACCCAGCAGGUCCUGACCCUCUGCCUGGGGCUGAGACUUCUGCUUGACGCCCAGAGGUCUGGGAGGUCUCCAGGGGGCGAUGAACCCUUUUCCCAUCAUGGCCCCAUGAAGAAAAGGGGGACAGAUCCCCAAUUACACCCCCUUCCACUGUAUACGUUAGAGGGAGCAGGACACGGGUGAGCACAUAAACGUGCAGCCCCUCCCCGCUCAGGACUGCUGAGACCACUGAGCAAUAAGCAGGCCCGGUCUGUGUCCACCACUGGGGCGCCCUGGGGACGGACAGUGCUGUCCAGUCUAAAGGGCCGCGGGAGUGGCCUAGGGUCCUUGCUCUGCCUGCUCCCGCCUCUCCGCUCCCCAGUCUCUGUGGUUGUACCUCUGCCCUCUGUCUCCCCUCAGGUGUGAGUGACUCACGACCCCUUGACCCUUGACCUGCCGCCUUCCUUUUCAGAACAUGUCCCAGGAGGCCUCUCUCUCUGCUCGGGGCUGUGCUCACUUGAAGGGGCCUAUGACCCUGGGAAGGAGGAGGGAAAGGGGGUCUUUAUGGAGGCACCCACCCAAACUCUCAUCUUCCACAACCAUACUUUCGGGGUGAACUGGGUGACUUUGUGAGCAAUCAGAGAUGACUCUUGUCCUGAGCUACUUGGAGAUCCCGGCUCCCCGCCCCCCAUGAAAGGUCUGGAGUGCUGGGGCGGCUGACUCACUGACUCUCAGCUGAGGUGUGGGGGUGCCUGGGAAAGGAAACGCAACCAUCCCUGCCCCCUCCACUCAGCAGGCUGGGGGAAGGUCCAAAGCAAAUACAGGGUUCCAAUUUUAACAGAAAUGCCCCCUCCCCAUCCCUCUCCUGGAAAUAAUAGAUGAGAAGCUUUCCUCCUCCAGAACCCUCAGGGCGCAAAAUAAAAUGAAUAAGACUGGGAGUCGGUGGUCUGCCCUUGGCCUCAGUGGCAGGGAACUCCCCAGCCUUGCCCUCAGCUUCUGGCCCUCCCCCUCUCCUAGCCUGGGGGACCCACCGUACCAAAGGAGAGACCCCCCUCCUCGAGCCCCUGAAAAGUUUGGGUGACUAGAAAGGACAUUGCCUUCCCUCUCCCUGUCCCCCCACCUCUCCACUCUCCCCUCUUUGCUGCACGGAGCCCACUGGGGGAGGGGGGUGUUGACAUGGACACUCAGGGGCCCUAGUUGCAGCCAGGAGCUGCAGGUGGGGACCCCUCCCCAUUCUGGAAGUCAGCCAGGGACCUGUGGGCAAUACAGCCUGAGGCUUUGUGCCCCUGCUCCCGCUCACAGUGGCCUGCAAUCUGGGGGACCAGUCCAGGGCUGAAAUAGGGUAGCCCUUCCCCAAAACAAGCAGCAGACUAGAGGUCCCCCUGAUGGAGCAGAAGGAGGCCAAGAGGGUGUGGAGCAGCACCUCCUCUUUGUGGGGAGCCGGCAUUCUCUAAGCAGUCUCGCUGAGUGGCCAGCCUUGAGCAGGGGACCUGCAAGGCUUCAGAAACACCAGGCAGGAGACCCACAGGCACGGCAGACAGACCCGGCUCCAAGUUCUCUCUGUUGGCUGCGCUUUUUAAUCCAAUGCUUUUCAGAGUGUAUUCACUCACCUACAGAAAUAGAGCCCUGUGCUUUAGGGGUGACUGUCAUAUGCCUUAUUCUUAAUAAAAUACCUGAAAAACA